AUUCUGCCCAAGCGGGGAAGGAUGAGAAGCUUCGACCAAGGUUCCACUUGAGCGCCAGCGAGAGAGCGUUGCCGCAGGCAACGACCCGAAGGGCGAAGCGCGCAGCGCUGAGUAAUCCUUCCCCCACCACCA
rnacentral:sRNA from 1 species